UCAGAAUUGUGGUUUGUGCUGCGGCAUAAGGUUGGAGGUGUAAUUUCGCUCUCCGCCACUAGGAGGCGAGUAUGCCUUGAGAUGACUUCCUGUUAGUCAGCAUUUCCUGUUUUGAAAGCCGUUACUCACGAGGCAACCGCCAGAUUAACUGAAAGAUCCUGGAUCUGAAUUCUGUGAAUUACAGCCGUGGGAAGCUGCGUCAGCUGGGCGAGCUAUCUCACCACGAGCUCCGAUUGGUUUUUUGACCAGGACUGGAUCAUUUGAGAUCUGAACCUUGUGGGUUCAGUGGCGAGCCAGUUCCAAGAGAGUGACUGUAGACGGACCAGAGUACGGUGUGGCCAGCCGUGGGAUCCAUCUUCAGCAAACCCCAGGACUAUCACUACAUCCCUUGACACAGAUAAGACUGACACUUUUAAAAAAUCUACCCGGGUAGUGUUAGAUCCACUGGACAGAAACGCACACACACAAACUAAUUUCUCUUUCCAAAGAGAAGUGGACUGAGCAACAGGAGUGGAAGCUCUUUAAUUGAAACUCUUUGGAGAAUUUCCUCAAAGAGGGUUUUGGUUUUAUUUUGAGUCCUUUAAUGUGCGUUCGUGCACUGUAGGAAGCCGGCUUAGACAGGCAGGGUUUGUAAACUUUACACCUUUUCAAUACAGUUUCUAUUUAAAUCAUAUCUUAUCUGUCAUUGUGCGGUUCCUUCUCUGCUGAUCCUUUCAAGGCUCCAUAAUCUUACCUAGAACUUUUGAUACUGGUCCAGAGUUGUCAAGACAAUAGUUCAACACCUAUUUCAUAUUAUUUAAUUGUAAUACCCGUUACACACGCCUCACAGUGAGUAGGUGUCUCAUUUUUCUCUCACAUGUUCUUGCUUCCUCUUCUUUUGGUUUGUUUGGUCACAUCUGACCGUACUAGGGGCCAAAUAUUCAUGCUGCCAAGGCUCAUUGAUCUGCCCUAUGGACAGAGACUGAGCAUUUCAUUAAAGGCAAGGACGCAGAUGUUGUUUUACAGGUUCACAUUUGAAUCUCAAGUAUCCGUUAGAGAUGCAGAGAGGAAGGAGGUAAUUGGCAGAUGAGGGAAUGGUGAAGUGAGACAAGGUUCAAAAGUCAGUUUCAAGUAGAAAUAAACAGUUGCUGAAGUGUAUUUCUUCAUUAUGGAAAGUACAUAAGCACACACACCUGAAGGACCUUUUCUGUCCAGUUUCAUACAUUCUGAUCAAAGAUGUGUUGCUAAACGGUAAUCACUGGAGGCGACUAGCGCUAAUUCACCAGCAGAACACGUGCAGGAGAGAUACAACCCUACCAGCUUUAAUGGUUACCAUGGUAACAUCUUCCACAGUUAGAAUCACGGCUUUAGUUCGAACCAAAUUCUCUCACCGCUGUGGCACGCUUUUUGUUGUCCAACAGAUCCGACCUCCCAGACACAUGGAGGCAGCAGAGAGUCAUCACUGGAGGAUUUUAUCAGACUCCAGAGACAAAGUCAGUAGUGACAAUCAUGCUUACCGCUGUUUGCUCAUCCAGGUCUGGGCCACAGGGGCAAGGGAAGCCCUGACCGUCUAAUCAACCAACCGACCAAUCGACCAACCGAUCGAUCAAUCAAUCAAUCAAUCAAUCAGUCAAUACACAAUUAACCAAUCGAUCAACAACCAACCAAACAACCUACAAAUCAAUCAAUUGAUUCAUCAAUCAAUCAAUCGACCGACCGAUCGACCAAUCAGUCAUUCAACAACUAACCAAUCGAUCAAUAAUCAACCAACCGACCGACCGACCGAUCGAUCGACCAAUCAAUCAAUCAGUCAAUCAACAACUAACCAAUUGAUCAACAAUCAACCAACCAACCAACCUACAAAUUAAUCAAUCAAUCAAUCAACCGACCAACUAAUCAAUGUAACAGACGCCGUCUGUUUGUGGCCACUGGGUGGCCUCAGUGUCACUACCUGCGCUCCUGGCUCUAGCUGAGUCAGGUGUAGCUGAUCCAAAUCAGGGAUGCUCCUCGUUAGAAGGGAGCACCAGGU